AGAAUGUGGACCUAAAAAUAGAAGU
rnacentral:tRNA from 1 species